GUGGGGAAUAUUGGACAAUGGGCGCAAGCCUGAUCCAGCCAUGCCGCGUGAGUGAUGAAGGCCCUAGGGUUGUAAAGCUCUUUCACCGGUGAAGAUAAUGACGGUAACCGGAGAAGAAGCCCCGGCUAACUUCGUGCCAGCAGCCGCGGUAAUACGAAGGGGGCUAGCGUUGUUCGGAAUUACUGGGCGUAAAGCGCACGUAGGCGGAUAUUUAAGUCAGGGGUGAAAUCCCGGGGCUCAACCCCGGAACUGCCUUUGAUACUGGGUAUCUGGAGUAUGGAAGAGGUGAGUGGAAUUCCGAGUGUAGAGGUGAAAUUCGUAGAUAUUCGGAGGAACACCAGUGGCGAAGGCGGCUCACUGGCUCGAUACUGACGCUGAGGUGCGAAAGCGUGGGGAGCAAACAGGAUUAGAAACCCUGGUAGUCC
rnacentral:rRNA from 1 species